rnacentral:rRNA from 1 species
AUUGAACGCUGGCGGCAGGCCUAACACAUGCAAGUCGAACGGUAGCACAGAGAGCUUGCUCUCGGGUGACGAGUGGCGGACGGGUGAGUAAUGUCUGGGAAACUGCCCGAUGGAGGGGGAUAACUACUGGAAACGGUAGCUAAUACCGCAUAACGUCGCAAGACCAAAGUGGGGGACCUUCGGGCCCCAACCCAUCGGAGGGGCCCAGAUGGGAUUGGGUAGUAGGGGGGGUAAUGGCUCACCUAGGCGCCGAUCCCUAGCUGGUCUGAGAGGAUGACCAGCCACACUGGAACUGAGACACGGUCCAGACUCCUACGGGAGGCAGCAGUGGGGAAUAUUGCACAAUGGGCGCAAGCCUGAUGCAGCCAUGCCGCGUGUAUGAAGAAGGCCUUCGGGUUGUAAAGUACUUUCAGCGGGGAGGAAGGCGGUGGAGUUAAUAACUUCACCGAUUGACGUUACCCGCAGAAGAAGCACCGGCUAACUCCGUGCCAGCAGCCGCGGUAA